AGAUUGAACGCUGGCGGCAUGCCUUACACAUGCAAGUCGAACGGCAGCACGGGAGCAAUCCUGGUGGCGAGUGGCGAACGGGUGAGUAAUAUAUCGGAACGUGCCCAGUCGUGGGGGAUAACGCAGCGAAAGCUGUGCUAAUACCGCAUACGAUCUAUGGAUGAAAGCGGGGGAUCGCAAGACCUCGCGCGAUUGGAGCGGCCGAUAUCAGAUUAGCUAGGUUGGUAGGGGUAAAAGCCUA
rnacentral:rRNA from 1 species